UUGUCUCUGUCUCUGUUCGUUCGAAAGCAAGAGUUUCCCCCUCAACUAUGUUUCAAUCCUUUUUCAAAAUUGAUCUAAUUAGAGAAGUUCUCAUUCGAUGCUGAAAGUUGACUUCGAAAGAAAGGACUAUUAUGACCUCACUUUGAUGGGCGAGAACUAUAUCUAUGCAAUUCCUCAGAUCCAACGCACUCAGCAGCCUUUCCGCUAUCAGAACAAUUCACUCCAGAUGGACGCUGAGUACGCUUUUGCGCAACCCAAGAACUAAAAGAACUAAAGAAUUCACACUCCACCGACCUGGAGCAGCUAUGAACAAACGAGGGGUGGUCAGCUCGGCGAAGCGAAGGGCCUUAAAAUCUUAGAGAAAGAACGGAAGGGAAAUUGUGUAUGGCACACCCAGUCAGUUCCCUGUGAGACUAUAGGCUUCAGACGGAUUCCCAGCCAGCCCGUCUUAGCGCGACAACGCGCUCUUUGCGUGCACUAGCCAAUUUUCGAGACAGACAGCGCGCCACCUUACAUAAGUAAGAUUCCGUCUUCCAAAAACUCCCUUCCCAUCCCCGGAGGGCCGACAAAGGCAAGCACAAAUUCCUAAGCGAUAGCUCGAGCUAUUGCUUACUCUCCAGUAGCAUAUACCCCAUAUCUGAUGUUUCAUCAGGAUAUCUGUUGGUGAAUCAUCAACUUGAGAAUCAGAUGUUAUAAAAGAAAUCCUCUCUUGCUUCAUUAUCCGUUUUUGACUCGUAUGUAGGCCGGUCGUCCAUCAGUUGUCGAACCAUCUGGUGGAGAGUUUGUUGCUCUAGGCCCUCCUUACUUGGCUUUUNNNNN
rnacentral:lncRNA from 1 species